rnacentral:antisense_RNA from 1 species
CUUGAUCGACCCCAGCCACAGCGGCUCGGGCCGGUCCUGCCCGUACGUCGCCAGCAGCGCCUGGGCCUC